rnacentral:rRNA from 1 species
UAUGUGAUCGUCUCUCGCAUAUCAAUAAGCGGAGGAAAAGAAACUAACAAGGAUUCCCCUAGUAACGGCGAGUGAAGCGGGAAGAGCUCAAAUUUGAAAUCUUAAAGGGUUUCCCUUUACGAAUUGUAGUUUAAAGAAGUGUUUUCUGUUGAGGUUUUGGUAAAAGUUCUUUGGAAUAGGACAUCAUAGAGGGUGAGAAUCCCGUAUUUGACCUUUACUUUCAACUUUGUGAUACACUUUCAAAGAGUCGGAUUGUUUGGGAAUGCAGUCCAAAAUGGGUGGUAAAUUUCAUCUAAAGCUAAAUAUUGGCGAGAGACCGAUAGCGAACAAGUACCGUGAGGGAAAGAUGAAAAGAACUUUGAAAAGAGAGUUAAACAGUACGUGAAAUUGUCAAAAGGGAAGCGUUUGACACCAGUGUUGUUUUUCUGAAAAUCAAUUAAAGAACUGUUUAUGCUAAGCUGUUUAGACUUUAUCAGCUAUCUGUUUAGUUUUGAGCUUUUCUUUAAUGCACUUUUCAGUUAACAAGUCAACAAUCAAUCUCUUUUGCUGUAAAAAAGCUUGAGGAAGGUGGCUUGAGAUUCGUCUUAAGUGUUUAUAGCCUCUUGCCUAUGCAGUCGGAGAGAUUGAGGUCUGCAGCGUAGAUCCUUCGGGGCUAAAUGCAUUUGUGCUAAGUUAUAGCAUUUUAUAGACAACUUGUUGACUAUGAUUUGUCUUGUAGCUUACUCGCUUAUGUUAUUUUACCUACGCUUAGGAUGUUGAUCUACAGAGCGAGAGU